AUUGAACGCUGGCGGCAGGCCUAACACAUGCAAGUCGAACGGAGUGGCGGACGGGUGAGUAAUGUCUGGGAAACUGCCCGAUGGAGGGGGAUAACUCCUGGAAACGGUAGCUAAUACCGCAUACCCUCGGAUGUGUCCCGAUGGGAUUAGCUUGUGGGUGGGGUAAAGGCCUACCAAGGCGACGAUACGUAACUGGUCUGAGAGGAUGAUCAGUCACACUGGAACUGAGACACGGUCCAGACUCCUACGGGAGGCAGCAGUGGGGAAUAUUGGACAAUGGGCGAAAGCCUGAUCCAGCCAUGCCGCGUGUGUGAAGAAGGUCUUCGGAUUGUAAAGCACUUUAAGUUGGGAGGCGUUACCAACAGAAUAAGCACCGGCUAACUUCGUGCCAGCAGCCGCGGUAAUAC
rnacentral:rRNA from 1 species